ACGCGGACGCGGACACACACCCCCCCGCACAGCACCCCGAGUGUCCGCAACUUGAGGCCGCCGUAGCCCGGCGCGCAGGGGCUGGGAAGGCUGGGGGGUGGGGGUCGGAGGGGGGCCGGAGUGGGCACCUUGUGUGAGUAAGAAGGAAGGUUAGAAAGAUGGGAGCGAAGAAAAAGUGAGGGGGGCAGCGAGGCGAGCAGAAGCCAUCGUGGGACGGGGAGAGAGGCGAGGAGGAAAGGAGAGUUGGCCAGGCGUCCGGGAGAGCGAAAGGGCCCGAAGGAGCGGAAGCGAUCCCGGGGGGUGGGGGGAGAGGAGCGCGGGGAGGGGAGAGGAAGGGCGCGGAGGGGGAGUGAAGGCGAGAGGAGGGCGAGGGAAGCGAGGCGCGGCGCCGCUCGGGGAGAGGAGGGCAGUGCGGAGCCAGGCGCGGGCAGAGGCGGCUCAGGCUGCGGAGAGGAGGGAGCGCGGCGCAGAGAGGAGGGGCUUGCGGCCCCGUAGAAAUGUCAAUCAGAGCCCGGAGCCCCGGGAAUCUCCGCCAAUCUGUUCGGACCUGACCUGGCUCCUCGCCGCCGCCGCCGCCGCCGCCGCCGAGCAGAUCAAUAGGCGAACGCGGAGCGCAGCGCAGCGCGGGAGGCAGCGCGGCCCCAGCCCGGCCCAGCCCCCGAUGCGCGCCGGAGCCCGCGGGCGGCGCUGAGCAGGGCGGCCCCGGGGGCCGGGCCCCCUCUCCGUCGGUGCCCCGCGGGCCACCAUGUCCUUCCCCCAGCUCGGAUACCAGUACAUCCGCCCGCUCUACCCGCCCGAGCGCCCGGGAGCCGCCGCCGGCGGUGGCGGCGGCGGCGGCGGCGGCGGUGGUGGUGGCGGCGGCGCGGGGGCCCGGGGUGGCCCGGGCGCCGGAGCCUCGGAGCUGGCUGCCUCCGGCUCCCUCUCCAAUGUGCUCUCGUCCGUGUAUGGGGCGCCCUACGCCGCGGCCGCCGCGGCGGCCGCCGCCGCCCAAGGCUACGGCGCCUUCCUGCCCUACGCCACAGAGCUGCCCAUCUUCCCGCAGCUGGGCGCGCAGUAUGAGCUGAAGGACAGUCCCGGGGUGCAGCAUCCGGCCGCGGCCGCCGCGUUUCCGCACCCGCACCCCGCCUUCUACCCGUACGGCCAGUACCAGUUCGGGGACCCGUCCCGUCCCAAGAACGCCACGCGGGAGAGCACCAGCACGCUCAAGGCCUGGCUCAACGAGCACCGCAAGAACCCCUACCCCACCAAGGGCGAGAAGAUCAUGCUGGCCAUCAUCACCAAGAUGACCCUCACCCAGGUGUCCACCUGGUUCGCCAACGCGCGCCGGCGCCUCAAGAAGGAGAACAAGAUGACGUGGGCGCCCCGCAGUCGCACGGACGACGAGGGCAACGCGUACGGGAGCGAGCGCGAGGAGGAGGACGAGGAGGAGGACGAGGAAGACGGCAAGCGCGAGCUGGAGCUGGAGGAGGAGGAGCUCGGUGGGGACGAGGAGGACGCGGGGGGCGAGGGCCUGGCGGACGACGACGAAGACGAGGAGAUCGACUUGGAGAACUUAGACGGCGCGGCGGCGGGGCCUGAGCUGGCCCUGCCUGGGGCGGCGCGCAGGGACGGCGACCUCGGCCUGGGACCCAUUUCGGACUCCAAAAAUAGCGACUCAGAAGACAGCUCCGAGGGCUUGGAGGACCGGCCGCUGCCGGUCCUGAGUCUGGCCGCCCCAGCGCCGCCGCCGCCCGUGUCCGCGGCUCCGCCGUCUCCACCCUCUCCCCCAGCUGGCCUGGACCCCUGCGCUCCCGCUCCGGCGCCCGCCUCCGCCCUGCAAAAGCCCAAGAUCUGGUCCUUGGCCGAGACAGCCACAAGCCCAGACAACCCGCGCCGCUCGCCUCCCGGCGCGGGGGGGUCCCCUCCUGGGGCAGCCGUCGCGCCCCCGACCCUGCAGCUUUCUCCGGCGGCGGCGGCGGCGGCUCACAGACUCGUCUCCGCGCCGCUGGGCAAAUUCCCUGCUUGGACCAACCGGCCGUUCCCAGGCCCGACGCCGGGCCCACGCCCGCACCCGCUCUCGCUGCUUAGUUCGGCCCCUCCGCACCUGCUGGGACUCCCCGGAGCCGCGGGUCACCCGGCCGCCGCCGCUGCUUUCGCUCGACCCGCCGAGCCCGAGGGCGGCACAGAUCGCUGUAGUGCCUUGGAAGUGGAGAAAAAGUUACUCAAGACAGCUUUCCAGCCCGUGCCCCGACGACCUCAGAACCACUUGGACGCCGCUCUGGUUUUGUCGGCUCUUUCCUCCUCCUAGUUGUUUUUUUUUUUUAAGAAAUUAAAAUCGUUGUAAUAAUUGUAAAAAAAAAAAUCGUUCUGUAUAGUUACAACUUGUAAGCAUGUCCGUGUAUGAAUACCCCCCAAAAAGGAAACAAAAGGAAACAAAAAGAAAUAAAACCACACACCCCCACCCCGAGUCCCUCAAGUCGCUUGUGUGCGCCCCACGUCAGCGUCAGCUGCGAUGGUGGGGUUGGUUUGUUCGGUUGAUUGGGGGAGACGGGGAACGAGGCGUUUCAGUGAGAACUAAGCGUGUCUGACUUUUUUUGUAUAUACGAAAAAAAUGUACAUAUGUGUGAACCAAAUUGUACAAGAAAGUAUCUAUUUUUGGCUAAAUAAAUGAGCUGUUGCCACUUUGACUAUAA